rnacentral:rRNA from 1 species
CCUACGGGAGGCAGCAGUGGGGGAUAUUGCACAAUGGAGGAAACUCUGAUGCAGCGACGCCGCGUGAGGGAAGAAGGUCUUCGGAUUGUAAACCUCUGUCUAUGGGGAAGCAAAUGACGGUAAUCGAAGAGGAAGCUCCGGCUAACUACGUGUCAGCAGCCGCGGUAAUACGUAGGGAGAGAGCGUUGUCCAGAAUUACGGGGGGUAAAGGGAGCGUAGGCGGGCGGGAAUGUUGAAUGUUAAAUCUACCGGCUUAACUGGUAGCUGCGUUCGAAACUUCUUGUCUUGAGUGAAGUAGAGGCAAGCGGAAUUCCGAGUGUAGCAGUGAAAUGCGUAGAUAUUAGGAGGAACACCAGUGGCGAAGGCGGCCUGCUGGGCUUUAACUGACGCUGAGGCUCGAAAGCGUGGGGAGCAAACAGGAUUAGAUACCCCAGUAGUC